AUUGAACGCUGGCGGCAGGCCUAACACAUGCAAGUCGAGCGGAUGAAGGGAGCUUGCUCCUGGAUUCAGCGGCGGACGGGUGAGUAAUGCCUAGGAAUCUGCCUGGUAGUGGGGGAUAACGUCCGGAAACGGGCGCUAAUACCGCAUACGUCCUGAGGGAGAAAGUGGGGGAUCUUCGGACCUCACGCUAUCAGAUGAGCCUAGGUCGGAUUAGCUAGUUGGUGGGGUAAAGGCCUACCAAGGCGACGAUCCGUAACUGGUCUGAGAGGAUGAUCAGUCACACUGGAACUGGGACACGGUCCAGACUCCUACGGGAGGCAGCAGUGGGGAAUAUUGGACGAUGGGCGAAAGCCUGAUCCAGCCAUGCCGCGUGUGUGAAGAAGGUCUUCGGAUUGUAAAGCACUUUAAGUUGGGAGGAAGGGCAGUAAGUUAAUACCUUGCUGUUUUGACGUUACCAACAGAAUAAGCACCGGCUAACUUCGUG
rnacentral:rRNA from 1 species